rnacentral:tRNA from 1 species
CUAAAAUAUUAAUGAAAAAUUGAUUUUAUGGGGAAAUCAGUUUUAACCUAAUUUUUAGU